UUUUUAUAAUAUACCGUUAACACAUAGUAACCGGUAUAAAUACUAGAAAUCCUCAAGAAAAGAAAUCAGAGAUCGACCAAACUCAGAAGAACUCUUAUGUGAUUUUGUCCAUAACGAGAGUUGUUAAUUGUCUUAUUGGUUCAAAAAACCGUAGGGGCUGAAUCAAAUCAUACCAAAACUAGUAGAAUAGAUCUGUGUCUGAAAGUAGUUUUAAUAAUUUAACAGAUCUAUUAAAAGGGGGUGGGGCGGGGGGAUCCUGAAGCCAAAAAGAAACCUCUGGAUCCGCCACUGUACCAUAUAUAUCUAUAUCUUUUAUUGGAUGAGCUGACUUUCUGGUUUCCCAUGUCAAAGCAAAACCAGAAAGUAUACAUUUUGCUGUUGGAAACAUACAAGACUGUGUUUCAUUCACCCGAUCACCCCGUCUUAAAGCCAUUAAGUGUAUUUCACGUAUUUGCUAUUGAUAAUAUUGGUACAGGUAUUCUCAUGAACAGCGGUUAAAACGAUACACGUGUCUUCUUGACGUACCACGCUGAUUGCUUAAUCGUAUCUAUCUAGAUUCGUUACGAAUGGUUAAGACGUUUACUAUAACAAAAAUAACAUUAAAUAGUUUCUUACAUUAAGCAUUGUUGAGUGUAAUACAUUUUCAGUCGGUUUAGUACAUAAAUACUCUCGAUUCAUUAUAUAAUUAAGCUUUUUUUUCUUUAAGGAAGCAAUGCAACAUCUUUUACCAAUAUCAAAAGACGAUUUUGCGCCAUUUUUUGGGUAGGAGAAGAUUAGAAUGCAAUGAAAAAAGCAUUUUUUCAAGGACGACAGAUGUAGACGGGACAUCCAUGUUGAUGGAAACCGCAUCUCUACUAAUACAUCUGAUUGCGUUUCUGGUCAUGAUGUACAGGAUUUGCUGUAUCACUGAUUCUGUCGCUGACAAGGAAAAGUCAUCCUAUUGGACAUGUUCCGGCGUUUGCGCCAUGUUGCUGUAUCCAGUCGCUGGUAUUCUGUCGAUAGCAGGAUGUAUUCACAUGAAUGACAUUGAUGUACCAGACUAUUCCCACGGAUCAGGGUACAACUCGUGCUAUGCACGUGGUGUUAUUGUCUUGCUGCAAGUGGCUUUGCCGUUACAAUGGUGUGUAAAAUAACAGAUAUGCCCAUCCUGUUCUUAAGCAUUGGAUUUGAUAAAAUUCUUUUCCGACCUUUUCCAAGAUGAUCGUCAUAUGAUGUUUCAAAGAAACAUUGCCAAGACUUCUGAUGCCCUAUUUGAAAGAUUAAAAGCGACACAUUAGUUAUGCAGUAUGUGUGAACAUCAUCGAUUGUUAGAUAAUGCUUAAACAUUAUAAUAUGUUUGCGUUUUUCGUAGUAAGGCCAGGAUUGGAAAUAUGUUAAACAUAUAUCAAGUUACUCAGUUAAAAGAACA